AAAAAAAAAAAAAUGAUGGGGAGUGAACAGUUUGUAUUUUGGUACUUGGAUUAAAAAAAAAAAUUUGAAAUCCACCUGGUGUUUGGAAAAACUCAUCUUUAUCAGUGCAUGCAUUGCUUCCCAUUUCUCCAAGCCUUGUGUUUUGUAAGCUAAUUAGUACAGUAGUAAUAGUUGGAUCAUAUUCAGUCUCCUUCCAUUAAGCUUCUCAAAGUACACCUGCCUGCUCUCCUAUCUGCUUUCCCUGGAAAUAGCUGACUGUUCAUCUUUGCAUUAGCUAGACUGCUGAAUCUUUAAUGUUCUAUUAGUGGAAGGAAUAUUGCAAACAUCCAUAUGCCAGUGUCCAGAGGCUUUUGUCAUUAAGAUUUAAAAACAAAUACCCUGCGGAAAAUUACCUGCCCGCAAUUUGUGACAAGUGUAUACUUUGGUGGCCUUUGCCACAUGCUCACUCACUUUUCAUUUGGAUCAUGCUGUCUGCAGCCUCAAUUACAGCCUAUUUCAGCCCAUUAGAUCCUUGUGCUGCAUUACUUUUCACCAGAGGUUUGCCCUGUGGUGGCCCUGGCCACCUGAGUGAUUUGAUUGGUCACCCCAAAAUUCUAAACUGUGAUUGGCCAUCUCUUAAGUUAUCAGUGAAGAUGUAUUAUGUUUCUUGACAAUGAGUCUGUACAUGGGCCACCCCAGUCAAAAAGGUCUGGACACACCACUACUGGAUAACUUCAGACAAGCAUUAGAGGUUCAUGUUCUUAUAUUACAGAUAAUCAAUCUCUUUCUAAUUGCUUUUCAAAUGCUGACAGUAUUGAUGAGUCAUUAUGCUUUUAGCAUUUGUCUUUCAAAUCCCAGCGGGACAGCAACUGUAGAAUAAUUAUUUUGAUUUCAUUCCACAGGUUUGAUUAUAUUGACAAUGCUAUAAUUACAGCGAUAAUGGGCAGGAGAGUUUGAAAAAAAAAUGAAAUUUCACAUUCAUAAUUAUUAUAAUAACCCAGUAGCUAAGACAAUCAAUUAUUUGGAUUUCUUCUUUAGGUCAGGACUGGUGUGAGAGUGAUUUUCCACUGAAUGUGAUCACAUAAAGAUGUGGUUUUCAAAUAUGUAUCAACAUAACUAUAAUCUAAAAGACAAGUGCACUUUACACAGUUACCUUUCACAGGUGCACUUUUACAGUUUGUUUGGAUCCUACAUUACUUUCUCUAAAGACCAGUCUACCUCAUAAAACCACAUCUACCUCAGAAAGUAUCACGUUAUAACAGCAAAUCUGUGCUAAAAGUGCCAUGCCAGUGGUCAUUAAACCCUUCUAACAAUCCGGCCGACUUCACAGGUUCCUCCUCCACCUCCACCACGACAAUCUGAGCCUUUAACACGGAAAAUGAGCUACGUUUACAAAGAGAGCCAAUUUUGACUGUAGCCAGACAGUCAGCAGACCCAAGGGCGACAAACAGAAAAAAGGUAACA